rnacentral:rRNA from 1 species
AAUCAACGCUGGCGGCGUGCCUAACACAUGCAAGUCGAACGCGAAAGCGUCUUCGGACGUGAGUAGAGUGGCGUCCGGGUGAGUAACACGUAGGUAAUCUACCUUCGGGUGGGGAAUAACGCCUCGAAAGAGGCGCUAAUACCGCAUAACGCAGCGGCAGCUAAUGCUGAUUAGUUGUUAAAGCGGGGGACCGAGAGAUCGGCCUCGCGCCUGAAGAGGAGCCUGCGGCAGAUUAGCUAGUUGGCGGGGUAACGGCCCACCAAGGCGACGAUCUGUAGCUGGUCUGAGAGGACGGCCAGCCACACUGGCACUGACACACGGGCCAGACUCCUACGGGAGGCAGCAGU